rnacentral:rRNA from 1 species
GACGAACGCUGGAGGCGUGCUUAACACAUGCAAGUCGAACGAUGAAAUGGAGCUUGCUCCAUGGAUUAGUGGCGAACGGGUGAGUAACACGUGAAUAACCUGCCCUUAAUUUUGGAAUAACCCAGGGAAACCUGGGCUAAUACCGGAUAAGUAAACCUGUGGCAUCACAUGGUUUUGGAACGUUUUUCGAUUAAGGAUGGCUUCGCGGCCUAUCAGCUUGUUGGUGAGGUAAUGGCUCACCAAGGCGACGACGGGUAGCCGGCCUGAGAGGGUGAACGGCCACACUGGGACUGAGACACGGCCCAGACUCCUACGGGAGGCAGCAGUGGGGAAUAUUGCGCAAUGGACGAAAGUCUGACGCAGCGACGCCUCGUGAGGGACGAAGGUCUUCGGAUUGUAAACCUCUUUCAGCAGGGACGAAGCGAAAGUGACGGUACCUGCAGAAGAAGCACCGGCUAACUAUGUGCCAGCCGCCGCCGUAA